rnacentral:lncRNA from 10 species
GACAGCCUCAGCUGAGCCGCCUGGAGCAGCCAGGUUGGCAGGAAGCAAGGUCAGCAGAGAAGGUAAGAUGCUGGCGGAGGUGAUGGAUGCUUGAAGAGGAAGAAGAAAGUACAAAAUGGUUGCCCAGGAAAGUGGGAGAACAAACGAACUGGGGCAAUAACAUAUGUGCUGGGCAACACUGAGGCCCACUUGAGGUUGGAGAUCAUACAUUAUCUUAAGUGAGAGCAGGCAGAAAGGUUAUACGGGAAUAUGGUUAUAAAGGGCAGGGAGGGUGGUGGGGAGGCUGUCACUGUGUUGGUUACAGGCAAAGCUGCUGACUUGCUCCACCAUCAACAGCUUGAAGGAUAAGCAUGUGACUGGGUCUAGUUGAUCCAAGUACCUCUGAUCCCCUGGCCACCGUGACUGGUGCAGGGAUUGCACCUGACCGGAGAUGGACCAAUAGAGCUUUCCUCAGGAUUUUGCUGCAACGACAAAAAAACUGCCCUUUGUUGCCUUGAGAGCUAAGCUGGUAGGAAGAUGCCUCAAGCCUUGGGGACCACCAUGUAGUAUGAGUCGGCCUGGGAUGAAGGCAACACAAGGAAAACAGUGUUAGGAAACAGACAGAGAGUCCCAGUGGCCUUGUUGGAGGACCUGGAUCCAGAAAUGCCUGAAGCCGAAAUCUAUGCCGGACCACACACUAGGAGAUGUCUGUUUUUCUACAGGCAGUGUAAGAUCAAUCUGUCACUUGCAACUCAAUGAGUCCUGACUAAUACAGAAACCUUUGUCACAGGGCUUCUGGGACAAUAAAAUGAAAUAAUCCAUGUAAAGAAGUUUACACAGGGUCUGGCACAGAAGAGGGAUCCUAUAAAACUGCACCACUUGUUACUCUGAUGAUACUUAUGUCAACGAUGUAAAUGUUUCACUCGAGUCUCCUCUGUGCCCAGGCUCUGUGCUGACCCCUGUGGACACAAAGAUGAAUUAAGUCCUGGUCCCACUAAAGGAGUUCACAGUCUAAUUGAGGAGACUUAAAUAGACCAUUAGAGUUUAAGUUCAUUAACAAAGAAUUCUGAGCAUAGUAUGCCUGGGCCUGGACUGGGGUGGGAUAGAUGGAGAGUGACCCAGUUUUACCUGGGAGUCAGGAAGGCUCCCUGGAAGAGGUGACAUUCCAGCUGGGGGUGGAAGGACAAGUGUCAGUUUGUGGGUGAAGAAGGGAGUUGGACAUCCCUGACAGAAGGAACAGCGUGUGCAAAGGUCCUGUGCUCUGACCAUCGGGAAAUAGGGAGUUGGGAGAACCAGAACAGUGGGAAGCUGAGAUGCAGUGAGGCCUGUGGGGCUGGAGUGAAGGUCACAACCUUGAAGCCCUAAAGGCUGAAUCAUAUGCAAAUGUGCCUUAUUGUGGCCCACUCUGUGUGUGUGUGUGUGUGUGUAAGCUGCCCCCAUUUGGAAAUAAGGAAGUUUCACAUUAAAAUCUGGGUUUCCAGCUUUUCUUGAGAGAUAAGAAGAUCUGGGUUAGAGCUCCCACCUUUGCAACAGGUAGCUGGAGCUGAGUAUCCACUACCCACCUUUGACAGGGGAGCAGCCCUGCAGACUGCAUCCUGCUGAUCAAUGAACGGGUCCGUCUGCACACCCAGGUGGCCUUCCACAGGUGCAACCCCUUCCCAGCUCCCGAAGGCAUUUGAAUUUGGGACUAAACACCCCCUUCUACUAUAUAAUUAAUAUUUGGAACACAGUAGCUUUUGGAAUAAUAGCUAAUAAUAAAAACAAUUUUAAGGAUUGAAAGCCAGUCCUAAGUCAUAUUGGAUGACAAUUCCUGCACGGGGUAUUGAAAAUGGCAAGGAAACUAGCUGCUGUUUAGUGAGUGCUUCCUCUGAGCCAAGCAGGUGCCAAGUACUAAGCAUGUGUUUUCUCAUUCAAUUCUGGCAACAGUCUUGUAGAUGUCAUUAUUACUUCCAUUUCACAGAUGGGGAACUGAGGCUCACAGAGAACUGAGGAUUUGCCUAAGGUCACAUAGCCAAGGAAUGGCAGAGCUGAAGAUUUGGGUUCAUAUCCAUCACCCCCAAUGGCUGACUGUUUUCU